GAUGGCGGACACCGCUGGAAAGGAGCAACUGAAUUGGACUGUCGAGCAGACCUUCGGCCUCAUCAGGUUCUGGACUGAGAAUGAGGAGAAGUUUACAAAAAAAAAAUUUGCCUCCAAAUUGUUAUGGGAGAAAGCAGUGAAAGACCUGGGCCUGGAAGGAAGGAUUACAGGAGAGAAGGCAGGCAAGAAGUGGGAGAAUCUAAAGAAACGUUACAAGG